UGAGGAAUAUUGGGCAAUGCCCGCAAGGGUGACCCAGCAACGCCGCGUGGAGGAUGAAGGCCGUAAGGUUGUAAACUCCUGUUAGAGGAGAAGAACAGUACCGAUUGGAUCGGUAUUUGACUGUACCCUCAGAGAAAGCCCCGGCUAACUACGUGCCAGCAGCCGCGGUAAUACGUAGGGGGCAAGCGUUGUCCGGAUUUACUGGGUGUAAAGGGCGCGCAGGCGGGAUAGCAAGUCAGAGGUGAAAUCCUACAGCUUAACUGUAGAACUGCCUUUGAUACUGUUAUUCUUGAGUUCGGGAGAGAGAGACGGAAUUCCAGGUGUAGUGGUGAAAUACGUAGAUAUCUGGAAGAACACCAGUUGCGAAGGCGGUCUCUUGGUCCGAUACUGACGCUGAGGCGCGAAAGCGUGGGGAGCAAACAGG
rnacentral:rRNA from 1 species